rnacentral:lncRNA from 1 species
CUUGCUCUAGCAAUUAUGUGAUCCUACCCAGAGAUCACGUUUGGCUGCUAAGGCCUGGACUACGUUCUUCGUGGAGUUGUGAGGGGGCUGCUUGUGAUCGCCUAGGAGUGGAGAGGAUGCCUUAUUUACCCCUUGAUAUACUAAUGCCUGCAUAAAUAAAACUCAUUGCAAACAUCCUGCAUGAUGAAACUUACUCAAACAUCACAUAGACUUCCUGGUUACCUGCCUUUCAUGCAAAGGAGGGGCUGAGCAAAUGAAGAUGUGCUGCUGGUGGGAGCAAAGUUAUGAGGAAGUAGAAUCUCCAAAUGCUGUGUUCUGUGCUUGUAUUUUCUCUUUCUACAACCUCCUCUCCCCUGCCACUAUCGCAUUCCCACCUACCAAGGAAGUGUAACUUUCCCGGCUCAGUUCUGAUCUAGACAUCCAGAUAAUCACACUUGG